rnacentral:tRNA from 1 species
AGUAAGAUAAGCUAAAAAUAAGCUAUUGGGUUCAUACCCCAAAUAUAAAGAUAUUCUUUUCUUUCUA